UACGUAGGGUGCGAGCGUUUAAUCGGAAUUACUGGGCGUAAAGGGUGCGCAGGCGGUUAUAUAAGACAGAUGUGAAAUCCCCGGGCUCAACCUGGGAACUGCGUUUGUGACUGUAUGACUAGAGUACGGUAGAGAGGGGUGGAAUUCCUGGUGUAGCAGUGAAAUGCGUAGAUAUCAGGAGGAACACCGGUGGCGAAGGCGGCGCUCUGGACCGAGACUGACGCUGAGGCGCGAAAGCGUGGGGAGCAAACAGG
rnacentral:rRNA from 1 species